CCUACGGGUUGCAGCAGUGGGGAAUCUUAGACAAUGGGGGCAACCCUGAUCUAGCCAUGCCGCGUGAGUGAUGAAGGCCUUAGGGUCGUAAAGCUCUUUCGCCAGGGAUGAUAAUGACAGUACCUGGUAAAGAAACCCCGGCUAACUCCGUGCCAGCAGCCGCGGUAAUACGGAGGGGGUUAGCGUUGUUCGGAAUUACUGGGCGUAAAGCGCGCGUAGGCGGAUUGGAAAGUUGGGGGUGAAAUCCCGGGGCUCAACCCCGGAACUGCCUCCAAAACUCCCAGUCUUGAGUUCGAGAGAGGUGAGUGGAAUUCCGAGUGUAGAGGUGAAAUUCGUAGAUAUUCGGAGGAACACCAGUGGCGAAGGCGGCUCACUGGCUCGAUACUGACGCUGAGGUGCGAAAGUGUGGGGAGCAAACAGGAUUAGAUACCCUAGUAGUC
rnacentral:rRNA from 1 species